rnacentral:rRNA from 1 species
UACGGAGGGGGCUAGCGUUGUUCGGAAUUACUGGGCGUAAAGCGCGCGUAGGCGGACCUGCAAGUCGGGGGUGAAAGCCCGAGGCUCAACCUCGGAACUGCCUUCGAUACUGCGGGUCUCGAGUCCGGGAGAGGUGAGUGGAAUUCCUAGUGUAGAGGUGAAAUUCGUAGAUAUUAGGAAGAACACCAGUGGCGAAGGCGGAUCUCUGGGCCAUUACUGACGCUGAGGAGCGAAAGUGUGGGGAGCGAACAGG